AAGUAAAGAAGUAAAAAUUACAUUUAGUUUCGACCUAAAAAUAGAGUUAUUUCUCCAUACUUU
rnacentral:tRNA from 1 species